rnacentral:rRNA from 1 species
GACGUAGGGCGCGAGCGUUGUCCGGAUUUAUUGGGCGUAAAGAGCUCGUAGGCGGCUUGUCGCGUCGUUCGUGAAAACCCACAGCUCAACUGUGGGCUUGCGGUCGAUACGGGCAGGCUGGAGUUCGGUAGGGGAGACUGGAAUUCCUGGUGUAGCGGUGAAAUGCGCAGAUAUCAGGAGGAACACCGGUGGCGAAGGCGGGUCUCUGGGCAGUAACUGACGCUGAGGAGCGAAAGCGUGGGGAGCGAACAGG